GUAACACCCAACACGCAUGUGCCGCUCGUACUAGGAAGUUCCCCUUUAAAAUGCGAAGAACGCAUGCGUCACAUCCUUUCUUCCCGAGAGUGGAAGGAGCUGGUCACAAGUACAACACGUUGCAGUGUAAUUCGAGGAGCCAAAUGAAGACUGCUGCUGCCAAUGGAAGGGAUCAUGGCAUUUGUCACCGGGAAUGGGUGACCUAAAAACUAGUCACAUUAAAAUGGUCAAAGGAUUGCAACUGAAUGAGGAUAACAUGAGAAAUUCAAAAUGACUGGUAAAUUUGUGUAUUGGUUCAUGUAAAAGGAAUGCCACCUUAGAAAAUGGUGACCUGAAAAUGAAGUGCCGAUGAAUUAAAAAUGGAUGUGUAGGUUUGUACAAAAUGCAAGAUCUGCGUGCAGGAUUCUUCCAGUGUAAGGUCCCUCUGGUGCAAGGAGUCCAGGUCACGGAGAGCACAGGGAAACACUGCAUCGGGUGGAAAAACAAGAGCGGAGGCCCCUGCAUUCCCAAGACAAACGUUUUCAUUCCCAAGCUUAAGAACAUGCACUCACUGUAACUGCUUUAACCCAACUAAACUAAUGUAAUGCUAAGGCGAAUGGGUUAUGAAUGUACAUUGAAAUAAAUUCUUGAUCCCUUUA